rnacentral:rRNA from 1 species
UACGUAGGGGGCUAGCGUUGUCCGGAAUCAUUGGGCGUAAAGAGCGUGUAGGCGGCCCGGUAAGUCCGCUGUAAAAGUCAAAGGCUCAACCUUUGAAUGUCAGUGGAUACUGCCGGGCUAGAGUCCGGAAGAGGCGAGUGGAAUUCCUGGUGUAGCGGUGAAAUGCGCAGAUAUCAGGAGGAACACCAAUGGCGAAGGCAGCUCGCUGGGACGGUACUGACGCUGAGACGCGAAAGCGUGGGGAGCAAACAGG